CACGGCGGAGAGGAUAACGGAAAGAUCAUUCGCCGGAGGA
rnacentral:sRNA from 1 species